CAGAACGAUGUCAUCAAUACCGGGCCGGGGCGACAGGAGUUGUGAUUAAUCCUUUGGGAAUGGAAAAUAUCUUUUCUUUUCCCAAAAAAAGCGAGAGUGCAUCAACGGUCAACCAACACGAUUAAACCCUCCACAUUCUUCUCCAGUCUUUAUCUCCGGCAGCCGCCAAUCUCUUCAGAAACAGGCACAAAAAGCUGGCACUUAUGAUUUUUGAAUACAAAAGCUACAACUUUACUUGUGUCUUUUGCUUCCAUUAUGUGUUCCCAGUUCAACUGGCAACUACCUGGUAUCUGACCACCAUCACCAUCAACAUUCACAACAUAAUUCUUGGAAGUAUUAGGUGAUCCGAGCAAGUGCGUAGUCUCUUCUGGGAAGUAAUGAGCUGUAGAACCCCCUGGAUGCUUUGUCAUAAUCAUUCUUUCUAGCUUCAUGGCUACUUCUCUCAUGGUAGGCCUUUCCUCCCCUUUUACCCUCAAACAUCUUCUUGCAAGAUGGGCCACAUUUUCUAUUACUCUCUGGUCAAUAUCUCCUUCAUUAAUAAUGUCAUCAUAUAGAAUUUGGUUCAAGUGACCAUCUUCCA